CUAUUGAAACAAAAAGUAGAUCAGUCUGGUUGCCUAGAGUUAUUGGAGCAGGAUUGGGAGAAAAUGGGAAAAUGAGGAGUGAUUGCUAAUGGAUGUGGGGUUUCUUUUUCAGGUGAUGAUAUAAUUGUUCUAAAAUUGUAGCAAUGGCUGCACAACACUGUGAAUAUACUAUAAGCCAUUGAAAUUUACUUUUGAUUGUUUGAACUAUUUGGUAUGUGAAUCCUAUCUCAAUGACCACAAAGCUUUUCAGCCAUUAAAAUAUUUAAUCAAAGAGGCAAGCAGGAAGCUUAAGAAUAGUUCAACUCUGAAAUCUGAGGAAAAAACUGUGAAGUCAGUUCAUUUGCAUUCUCUUUGGUUAUAAUAAAUCAAAAACGCUAAUACAAAAGAAAAGAAUGAAAUUAAAGAGAAGCGCUCUCCACUGCUGUCCUCUUCAGCUCAACAUGGUGGCCUACCGGGUGACUGGCAACCUCAGUCACUUCUCUGCCUUCAGAAUCCUCCACUCCAGAGGUUACAUAUGCCGCAAUUUUAUAGGGUCUUCUGCUUUGCUGACCAGAACUCAUAUUAACUAUGGAUCAAAGAGUAUGUGGCAGUGAUUCAAAUUAACUCUCCCAAUUCAAAGGUAAUACACUGAAUAAAGAGCUGCAUUCAGAGUUCAUAGAUGUUAUGAAUGAAAUCUGGGCUAAUGAUCACAUCAGAAGUGCCGUCCUUAUCUCAUCAAAGCCAGGCUGCUUUAUUGCAGGUGCUGAUAUCAACCUGUUAGCUGCUGCAAGAUCCCUCAGAAGUAACACAGACAUCACAAGAAGCGUAGAGAACAUUUGAGAAAGGAAAAGUCCACAAACCCUGUUGUAGCUGCCAUCAGUGGAUCCUGCCUGGGAGGAGGACUUGAGCUUGCCAUUUCCUGCCAAUACACAAUAGCAACAAAAGACAGAAAAGCAGUAUUUGGUGCCCCUGAAGUCUUGCUGGGUAUCUUACCAGGAGCAGGAGGCACACAAAGGCUGCCCAAAAUGGUGGAUAUGCUUGUUGCUUUUGACAUGAUGCUGACUGGUCGAAACAUUAAUGCAGACAAGGCAAAGAGAAUGGGACUGGUUGACUAAUAGGUGGAACCCGGGGCCAGGACUAAAACCUCCAAAGGAACGGACAAUCGAAUACCUAGAAGUUGCAAUUACUUUCGCCAAAAGACUGGCUGAUAAGAUCUCUGCAAAGAGAGAUAAAGAAUUGGAGAUUGGUGGGAAAACUGACAGUGUACACCAUAGCUAUUCCGUUUGUCAGGCAACAGAUUUACAAAAAAGUGGAAGAAAAAGUGUGAAACAGACUAAAGGCCUUUAUCUUGCACCUCUGAAAAUAAUUAAUGUGGUCAAGACUGGAAUUGAGCAAGGGAGUGAUACCGGUUAUCUCUCUGAAUCUCAGAAAUUUGGAGAGAUUGCAAUGACCAAAGAAUCAAAGGCUUUGAUGGGACUCUACCGUGGUCAGGUCCUAUGCAAGAAGAAUAAAUUUGGAGCUCCACAGAAGGAUGUUAAGCAUCUGGCUAUUGUUGGUGCAGGGCUGAUGGGAGCAGGCAUCACCCAAGUCUCCAUGGAUAAGGGGCUAAAGACUAUACUUAAAGAUGCCAUACUCACUGGGCUAGGCCGAGGACAGCAACAAGUGUUCAAAGGAUUUAAUGAUGAAGUGAAGAAGAAAGCUCUAACAUCAUCUGAAAAAGAUUCCAUCUUCAGCCACUUGACGGGCCAACUUGAUUGCCAAGGUUUUGAAAAGGCCAACAUGGUGACUGAAGCUGUGUUUAGGGACCUUAGUCUUAAGCACAGAGUGCUAAAGGAAAUAGAAGCGGUGAUUCCAGGUCACUGUGUUUUUGCCAGUAACACAUCUGCUCUCCCAAUCAGUGAAAUUGCUGCUGUCAGUAAAAGACCUGAGAAGGUGAUUGGCAUGCACUACUUCUCUCUCCUAGACAAGAUGCAGCUGCUGGAGAUUAUCACAAUCGAUAAAACUUCCAAAAACACCAGUGCUUCAGCUGUAGCAGUCGGUGUCAAGCAGGGCAAGGUCAUCAUUGUGGUUAAGGAUGGACCUGGCUUCUAUACCACCAGGUGCCUUGCACCCAUGAUGUCUGAAGUCAUCGGAAUCCUCCAGGAAGGAGUUGACCCAAAGAAGCUGGAUUCCCUGACCACAAGCUUUGGCUUUCCUGUGGAUGCCACCGCAGUGGCGGAUGAAGUUGGUGUGGAUGUAGCACAACAUGUGGCGGAAGAUAUGGGCAAAGCCUUUGGGGAGCAGUUUGGAGGUGGAAACCCAGAACUGCUGACACAGAUGGUGUCCAAGGGCUUCCUAGGUCGUAAGUCUGGGAAGGGCUUUUACAUCUAUCAGGAGAGUGGAACGAGUAAGAAUUUGAAUUCUGACAUGGAUAGUAUUUUACUGAGUCUGAAGAUGCCUCCUAAGUCUGAAGUCUCCUCAGAUGAAAACAUCCAGUUCUGCCUGAUGACAAGAUAUGUGAAUGAGGCAGUCAUGUGCCUAUAAGAGGGGAUGUUGGCCAGACAUGCAGAGGGAGACAUCAGAGCCAUCUCUGGGCUCAGCUUCCUGCCUUGUCUUGGAGGGCCUUUCCGCUUUGUGGACCUGUAUGGCACCCAGUAGAUAGCGGACCAGCUCAAGAAGUAUGAGGCUGCCUGUGGAAAACAGUUCAUCCCAUGCCAGCGGCUAGCUGACCACGCUAACAGCCCUAUAAAGAAAUUCUCCCACUGAGCAGGUCUCACGCCUCGCCCGGUCAGUGCACUAACCCCAGCUACCGGCUGUGCUGGUUCUCCAACAGAGUGGUGUCUAGAUUUAUCAAAGGAAAGAAAAGGAAGACAAACUCUGGCAUUGGGAUUGCUCCCUGAUUAAACUGCCUUCAGCCAAGACUACCUCUCCCUCCUGGUGAAGUUUGACUGUGAAUUAGAGUUUGCACUUCCUACUGGAAGGUGGAAUCCACUAUGCUCACUGUAAAAGCCCCAAGGCCUAGAGCGGCAGCUAAGAGCCAUCUGGAGCCAUCUCUGCCUGUUCCUCCCAGGAGGCCAGUGUGGCCAAGGGUGGUGAGGGCAAUUCUGCAUCCAGCCAAACACAUAACAAUAAAAACCAAACUCUGU